AUCUUCAGGUUCGAGGGCUUCCUUGCCGUCUGCCAAGAACACUCGUCUUGCGGCCAUGUUCAGAUUCAGCUUUUCUGUGCACUCCUCCAGCAGCUAGAAGAAAGCAAGAGAGUUUCUGAUUGCCCGGGUUGAAGUGUAUCUCAUAUUUCCCACAGUGUAAUUAACAACAUUCUACUCUGGUGCUUUCAAAGAAAAAAACAAAAACAAAAACAAAACCCGAGAGAUGUGUUACAUUUUAAUGUCUGAGAUAGUCAAUUGAAACAUUAUAAACUCUGCUCAAAGGAAAGAACUUCAACAAUAGGUUAAAAAGAACAGAGAACAGCUUUGAUUACCUCAGUUGACCCACUGGAGCACUGACAGGCCUUCAGACUCAGAUUGGAAACUACAGCAAUGGCCCUCUGUCUCUCAGGCCUUUGAACCACACCACUGGUUUUCCUGGGUCUCCAGCUUGUAGAUGACUAAUCAUGAGACUUCACAGCCUCCAUAAUCGGGUCCAGAGUCUGGGCAAAGCUUAGCUGGAUCCUCUGUUCAGAAUCUCACAGAGCUGAAAUCAAGGUGUCAGCUGGGGCUGCAGUC
rnacentral:lncRNA from 10 species